rnacentral:rRNA from 1 species
GACGAACGCUGGCGGCGUGCUUAACACAUGCAAGUGGAGCGACGAACCAGGGCUUGCCCUGGGGCAGAGCCGCGAACGGGUGAGUAACACGUGGGUAACGUGCCCCGAUGACUGGGACAACCCGGGGAAACCGGGCUAAUACCGGAUAUGCCCCCUCACGCGAGUGAGGUGUGUAAAGGAAGCUUCGGCCUCCGCAUCGGGAGUCGGCCCGCGGCGCAUUAGCUUGUUGGUGGGGUAACGGCCUACCAAGGCAACGAUGCGUAGCUGGUCUGAGAGGACGAUCAGCCACACUGGGACUGAGACACGG